GCUGUGAGUCACCGAUGGGGGGCGGGGAGGGCAGGGGAUCUGGGAGUGAGAUGCCGCCACCUGCCUGUUGAUAGGACGCAGCCUUGGGGUCACUGUGUCAGAGCGGGAAUGUGCAAACGGGGACACUCUGCCCCCCCCCCGGCCGGGACGGCAAAGAGCCCACCCCGCCCCCCGGGCCAGCUCUGGUCAACGGCCGGGCCCCCGAGUGGCCUCUGGGAAAGAAGGAAAGGAAGGAAGACAGGGAAAGGAAGAGGGAGGCUGAGGCAACACCCACAUGUCCACCUCCUGGUCCCGUAUGACUGAUGCCCGGGGUGUCUCAAACCUUUCAUCUCGUGGUCUCCCCGUCACUGUUCUCGUACUCACUAUUUCUCUUUAAAAAGACUCACCUAAUGGGAAAACCAGCCACAAAUCCAAGGUAAGCGUAAAAACAAAUACAGUGUAACGAAAUACCACAUCAGGGGUCCAGCAGGUUCUCUGACUGUCAAAGGAUGGGAACCAGGUCUAUGGACACAGAGAAGGAAAAUCACAGGGGUCCACACCUGAUGGGGGCGGAAGCUUCUCGCUACACAAUUCAGCGUCAUUUCACACAGGGUCUGUGAUCCCGAGUCGCCUCUGGGGAUCGCCUCUGAGGCACCGGUCUGUGCUUCAGCAAGGACGCCCUACACCCCACUGACCGCGGGCCGCUAGCCUGGGAAUGAGGCCCUCCCCAGCAAGUCAGGGGCUGGGGGAGCCUUGAGGAAACAGCUCAGGUGAGCCGGCACUGAGAGGGGGUUGAAACCUUCCAUCGGGUCAAAGGAAAGUCGGGUGACCCAGCGAUUCCACUCCCCGGUGUGUACCCCAAAGAGGUGAAAGUUGGUGUUCAAACCAGCGCUGUUCACAACGGCGAAGAGUGGAAACGACAAUGUCCGUCCAUGGACAAAUGGACCAAAAGACAGCAGACCCGCACCGUGGAACACUAUGCAGCCACGAAGAGGAACAAAGUGCUGGCAUUCGCAGGGAUCCACCUAGAAAACAUGGUCAGUGACACAAGCCAGUCACCGGAGGCCGCAUACUAUUGGAUUCUAUGAAGUGUCUGGAGGACAGGUGGGUCCACGGAGACAGGAACUAGACGGUGUUGCCCAGGCUGGGGUAGGGCACGGGCAUGACUGCUGAUGGCUACGGGGCAUGUUUCUCGGGGAGGAGAAUGUUCUGGAACCAGACAGAGGUGGUGGUUGUACACGACUGUGAAUUUACUAAAUGCCACCGAAUCGUACACUUUAAAGUGGUCGGACUUAGGUUGUGCGAAUUUUACCGCAACUAAAAAAAAUAAUCCUUUAGGGGUGUCUGGGUGGCUCAGUCAGUUGAGCAUCUGACUUCGGCUCGGGUCAUGAUCUCGCGGUCUGUGGGUUCGAGCCCUGCGUCGGGCUCUGUGCUGAUGGCUCAGAGCCUGGAGCCUGCUUUGGAUUCUGUGUCUCUCUCUCUCUCUGCCCCUCCCCCAGUUGUGCUCUGUCUCUCUCUCUCUCUCUCUC